rnacentral:rRNA from 1 species
GACGAACGCUGGCGGCGUGCUUAACACAUGCAAGUCGAACGGAAAGGCCCUGCUGUUGUGGGGUGCUCGAGUGGCGAACGGGUGAGUAACACGUGAGUAACCUGCCCUUGACUUUGGGAUAACGUCAGGAAACUGGGGAUAAUACCGGAUAGGAGCUCCUGCGGCAUGGUGGGGGGUGGAAAGUUUCGGCGGUGGGGGAUGGACUCGCGGCUUAUCAGCUUGUUGGUGGGGUAGUGGCUUACCAAGGCUUUGACGGGUAGCCGGCAUGGGAGGGUGACCGGGGACAAUGGGACUACGAGACGGCCCAGACUCCUACGGGAGGCAGCAGUGGAGAGUAUUGCACAAUGGGCGCAAGCCUGAUGCAGCAACGUCGCGUGCGGGAUGACGGCCUUCGGGUUGUAAACCGCUUUCGCCUGUGACGGAGAGUGAGUGACGGUAAUGGGUAAAGAAGCACCGGCUAACUACGUG